UGUAAGCGAAAUUUACACGUUAAGUUUUAAGUCUACGUUAGCUGGGGCUGUGAGUUUCCACAUACGUGUUAUUAAAGGCAACGUAAAUGAGAUCUUAUGACCGAAGAGUUAUAUUCACUAAAGUGGAUACACUCUACAACCAAAUGACUACCAAGGUUUCGGCGGAUCAUUCUUCCAGGAUAAACAUGGAGACUGCUCUUGGAUAAAGCUGUUGAUGAAAGAAAAACAUAACAUAUUUACAGUGAUGAAGUAAAGUACAUGAAGAAGCACAUGCUAAUUUAUAGGAAUUACAUUGUCCCUGAACGCUCAGCAUGUCACUGUUCAUCUCCUUGUAUCCAUUGUUCACACGACAUGAGUAAUUUCCGUUGUCGGAAACUUUGUAGUUUCUUAUCUUCAAGAUUCCUGAAGGUAAAGUCUGCAUUCUCUCACCGUCAGUAAGUUUGAGAAUUAUAGUAUCUUUGAACCACGAGUAAUUUAAUAAUUGAUAGUUCGUAUCAACCAUACAGUGUAAUCGUACGACAUUGCCGUAAAGAACAGGACUUGAAUGUCGUAGCCGUAUUGAUCUCAGAUCUAAAACAAAAUAGCGUUUUAAGAAUUGCAAAGUGAACAAAUCUACGAAAUAAAAUGUGAGUUUUUUUGCAGUUGAAAAAAAUCAUUAGUUCCUGCCAACGAUUAAAACAACGUGAAACAAAGAAUCAUAAUGAUCCAGCACACGAUGCAGUGAAAAAAUCCAGACAUUUGCAAUAAUUGAAAAGGAAAGUCAUGCUGACAAUGCUUCUAUGGCACCAAUGUUUCGAUGUUUCGAACGCACGUGAUGAUAAAGAGCUGUGAAAUUAAGAGCUUGCACACUGUCUAUAUUCAAUUUACCAAAGUUUACUAAUUGAAUCUUUCGGCAAUCUUAAAAUUAUAUGACUACUAAGAUCCUAUUGAAUUAACAACCAGUAUCAACCCCACAAACAUCCUAAAAAAACAAAUGUCAUACCUACAAUAACUAAACAUUGUUCUUUUAAUUCAAUAAACGACUAGACAUCAAUUAGAUGACCGAAAUUA